GUGCCUACGGGGCGCAGCAGUAGGGAAUCUUCCACAAUGGACGCAAGUCUGAUGGAGCGACGCCGCGUGCAGGAAGAAGGUUUUCGGAUUGUAAACUGCUUUAGACAGGGAAGAAAAAAGACAGUACCUGUAGAAUAAGCUCCGGCUAACUACGUGCCAGCAGCCGCGGUAAUACGUAGGGAGCAAGCGUUAUCCGGAUUUAUUGGGUGUAAAGGGUGCGUAGACGGGAAUGCAAGUUGGUUGUGAAAUCCCUCGGCUUAACUGAGGAACUGCAACCAAAACUACAUUUCUUGAGUGCUGGAGAG
rnacentral:rRNA from 1 species